rnacentral:lncRNA from 1 species
CUGGCAGGAGCCCCAGUUGCAGGGGGGAUGGCCAGGGCCUCACUGAGCCAGCCACACGGCUCAGGGUCAGAAACCACGUCCGGCCCUGCCUUCACUGCUUCUGGCUGGGCCAACCUGGGCCAGGGCGCAGGCCUGCCGGGCUUGGGAGUCGUGAUGCCAACCCCCAGCCUCCACGAGUGGGCUGUCGGGCCCUCACUCUCCUGCCCCCUUCGCCUCGCGGCCAGGCUCUCACCCUCUCCUGCCCUCUGGGUCCCCCCACCUCACGAAGGCCAUGUCAUGGAGAAGCCUGUCGUGGGGCGGGGACAGGAAGUCCCCGGGUGGGGGCCAGGCCAAGAGCAGCAGAUAAAGGCGGGAGCUCAUCCAAGAGGUAGGUGGCCCAGCACCAGGGUCGGAGGAGUGCCGUGGCCCGAGGUCAGCGGGGGCCGCUCCUCCCCAGCUUGGGCCGUACCCCCGGCACGUGGAGGUACAGAGGCACAAAGGCAAGCCACUGGAGUCUGGCAGACACUGUGAACAGGAGUACCGGGCCCAGACAGCUCCCUGCCAUCAAGCGGGCGGAGGAGGAAUCUCCGACCCCUCUGGGGGCCAGCGGGGAGGACCGGCCCUGCCUGGGAGAUGCCAGCGCGGUGCUGGGAAACCCGAGCUUGGACAUGACCCAGGAAGCUGGGACAGCAGAAUCCAGGCAGGAAGAUCCGAGCAUGCUCCAGAUGCCCUGGGUGGAGCAGGCAGGGGGACAGCCUGGAACACAUGCUCCUGAACGGUGGACAGGGCUGCCCGAGGGGCAGAGAAGCUGGCCAGGUGUCCCCUUCCCAAUGCCACGCUGCCAGCCGGCCACAGGCCCAGGCAGCUGCAGCCCUGCUCGUCUGGACGGACAACUGCCGACAGGAGGGGGGAUGCAGGGCGCCGCCAUUGAGGGCGGCAGGGACGGCGCCCAGAGGCGUGGGCAGGAGGAAGGUCAGCCAGGUGGAGAGGUGGGGACAGUGGGACUCAGUGGCUGUCGGCCACUGGCCUGCCAGCCACAUCCCAGGCAGGCUCCGGAACCGACAGGACAAGCUGCCCGUGGCUCAGGGCUCACUCAGCCCCGCCUCCAGCCCAGGCACAGUCUCCAGAAGAUGGAGGGCGUGUCCUUACUCGGCCAGACAGGUCAACAUUCAGACAGAAGAGACUGGCCCCCGGUGUGCACAGGCGCCAGGGCAGAGGUCAGGCCCCAGGAGGACGAGAGCAGCACGGGGACCACAACGGUUCCCACACCCGCACAGAGCUUCUCACCACGUCGGGAACGUUUCAGUGUAAACUGCCUCCCCCGCCACAUCACCCCAUUUUCCAGAGACGAGCCGCGGCUAGCCCCCUCCUGGAGGGUGGCGGUGUGGCCCCGUCUUCCUCAGGAACCCGCAGGGUGGGUCUGUGGGCAGGACAGGGGCCCUCUGAGCACAGCUGUCAGACUCCAUCUGGUGCAUAAACUGGUUUUCAUGUUUAAAGAGAGGGAGGGUUUCCAGCCACCUGAGUGUCACAGGGCCGUGCCACCCACCUCUGGGUCAGGAGAGCAACGGGGCCCAGGGAGGGAUGGGCAGCGCUUGCCCAGUCGCCGCCUGGGUGGUCCUGCCCCCACCCUGGACUCGCAGGGGGCAGGCACCGGCUCCGGGCGCACAGUGGGGUCGGUGCCGCCUUCCGCGCAAGGAGCAAGACACCAGACACUGAGGCCCGGCUCCCACCGCGACUCGUCAAGAAACCAGAGGCCAAUUUGGAGCCGAUUUUUAUUGUACUUGUUGCUUCGCCACUGGAUAGCAGCAGUCACGCCUGCUGCGUGA